AUCCAACCUGAGCCACGGCUGUAUUAGCACCCGAUCCUUCACCCACGGAGCCGCCAGGGACUCCAGGACUAUGACAUUUCCGAGGUGACUUGGGAAAACAUCCCUCGGUUUGGGUGAGUGCCUCGAUCCAUUUCCGCGCUCUGGGCAGGACCGCAUCGGAAGGGAUGGUCUUUGCUGCUCUCACUGCGUCUUAUCUGAAGGCACGCGACACCUUUUGUUCCAGCGCUGGUGGCAGGAACGCUCAUCUUUCAGAGUCUUCUGGAUUUGGACAGCGGGAGCCCCUUCAGCCGCGUCCUGCCUUUUGAGCCCCCAUCACGCAUCAUCCUUCCUUCCCUUCUGCCCCCGCUGGAGAUUCCAGCCACAGCAUGUCCUGCCCCAGCCCUGGAAAUGAGGCGUUUCUCCAAAAGCCCUGGUCCCCUCUAGAAGCGAAUGGAACUUAGAAAACCAAGAUCUGGGCACUGGC